ensembl:lncRNA
UUAGUCUGUAAGUAAUUUGUAACAGGAAAUUAAGGGCAAUGACUACAUCAUAUUAAAAAAUAAACAAAAUGCAAUAUGUCUAUAUUAAAUAAAGAGAGUGGUUUUAGAUGAAAUGUUCAAACAGAUACAGUUGUUUGGCUGGCCCUUUUUUUACACCCUUCAAAAGUGUCUCUGAGGGUUAAGACCAGAGGUGGGACCAAGUCAUUGUUUUGCAAGUCUCAAGUAAGUCUCAAGUCUUUAUCCUCAAGUCUCAAGUCAAGUCUCAAGUAAUGUCAGGCAAGUCAGAGUCGAGUCUCAAGUCACUGGUGUAAAAGUCCGAGUCAAGUCACAAGUCUGAAAUUUUGAAUUUCAAGUCCUUUCGAGUCUUUAAAAAAAAAACGAAAAAAAGCAUGUUGCAGUUAUGCUAAAUGUAAAUAUUAGACCAUGUAAUUUUUAAAUCUGUGUUUUUCUCAACACAUGACAAAAUAGUGAACUUAGAAAAUAUACACAAAUUGUGAAAUUGCACCUCUUUAAAAUGCAGCUCAAUUAAACCUAGCUCCAAGAAUAAUUUUCACCGACAGUUCUGAGAUACGCUGCAUGUUAUUCUUGGAUGCGGUUGUAGGACCGGCUUUAAAAUCGCAUGACAAAAAUAUCAUACAUAAAUAAAUGAUAUUUUAAAAAAAAUAUAAUUUAAAAAAAAACUGCAUCACCAACGUAGCCUGGAAAACAUUUGCUAGUUAGAUGAAGUCAGCUAUCUCAUCGUAGCAUAUUUAUAUGCAUAUUUAUAAUCAUACGGUUCUUGGAGUGAGUGCACACACUCAUGAAGUUUAGUAACUUCCGGUCACUGCAACAAGCCCAGGUACAGUUUACCGACGGAUGGGUGCAGGACCUUGAAAUGCACCGUGUAGAAAGUAAAGACCAUCGUACGUAUCAUAAGUUUACCAGUCUCACAAAUCGUCGUCAUAAAUACACAUUCCUCAACGGUAAUUAAUUAGUAGUGGAAAUAAUUUCUGGUAGCAUCACAGAAAUGUAGCAGUGACAAUAAUAUUGUAUGCUGUAAUCGUACUG